GGAGCGGUAGUUCAGUUGGUUAGAAUACCUGCCUGUCACGCAGGGGGGCGCGGGUUCGAGCCCCGUCCGUUCCGCCA
rnacentral:tRNA from 3 species